UGCAAUUGUCCAAGUACAAAAAUCUGCUGUACGUUAUUGCACUUAAUGUUACUUGCCUGUAUCAAAUGCCAGUACAGACGCACAUGUUUUUGCAGGUUAUUUUGUGCAAGACUAAUUAUUAGCUAAUGUCGAAAUUGUAUCUGCUGCUGUGCUGUUACUGAGUAGCUGCUUUCUGAUGAAUUGUUUCCUGUACAAGAAAUAAAAAGAAUCUAAGCCAUGUGAAUAUCUCACUUACUGGUACCAGCUGAUAAGCUGAGCUAUUCAAGUAGCUCACUGCAGCAUCUUCAGGUGCUUCGAUUUCAUUACCCUACAUAAAAUCUUGUUUUAAUUCCCCCUUUGCAAUUAGCCUCCUGCUGGUCUAAGAAACAACCCCAAGAAGAGAUUGGGGCUUGAAGUGCAGAGUGAGGCUAUAUGGCCUUGUCCUUUGGCAGAGAUCAGGUUAGACAGCUUUAAUGAUUUCUAGAACUUAAAAAGCACUGCUAAGCUCUUUGCUUCUUUUCAGCUUUUUUUUUUUUUGUUGUUUUUUUGCUGGUAUUAUAAUAUCUCUGAUAAAUGUUGUUCUUUCUGGUUUGAGUAAUGGUAGUUGGUAGCUAUUGAACAGCAAUUGAUUGUCCUGGUUAGUCAGGGAUGAAUUGGAAAUGCAAAAAUGAAUUUCCCUCCUGGGUUGGAGCGUUCACAGGUAAACAGUGUCCUGCAGAAGGCUGCCCUUGCCUAACACCAGGAAUCUGACAGGUUCAGAUUUGGCCAGUGUAAUAUCAGGAAUGUGAAUAGUCACAUCUAAACAUGAAGAGGCGGGGAGUGGUGCCUUGGCUGUAUAGCUGAGUGAUACCAAUUAACAAUUGCCUAAUCUGUGCUUUCCCUCUUCUUCCCCAGGGGAGCUGUGGCCAGACUGCAUCAGGGACGGUCACCAGUACGUCUUGCCCCAGUAUGCUUCGUAUGGGCGCAGUCUGGAAGAGAGCUUGUGGGCCAGCAGGAAGGCAGAGAAUGCUAACGGAGAGUUGAAAAGACACGAGGGGAAGGUCUAUAAUCUACCCUGGGAAUUUAAAGAAUCUGGAGAUUGUUAAUAGCAGGUGUCACAGCUGCUUGGAGUAUGGUGGGAAGGAAGAAGAGGAGCUCUGUAGAGAAAUCUGUCCAUUGGCUAUAAAGACGGUUGUGCUAAGCUUUGAGCACCAAGUUCCACAG
rnacentral:lncRNA from 1 species